GCUCCACUUGCUCCAUCCUGUUCCAGGGCCUGGGAAGCUAAACUGUAUGAAAUGCAGAAACAGGAUCCAGUGCUCUAUGCCUUCUGAUUGAGUUUGGCCAAUGGAAAGUCCCUGAAAAGAGACUGGAAUUUGAAGAAGAAAGGUAUCCGUGUAUUUAUUUUCCCAGUUCCUUUCCUCCGGGAUUUCUGCACAUGACUUUCUCUCAUGCUGAGGAUGGGAUCAAGGACAUCACACAUUGUAGGAAGGGGGAUCAAAGGCUGGGAACUCUACAAACCAAUAAAAAUCCACUUCAAUGAGGAAAGCAGAAUUUAUAUGGCCAAGGGCACAGAGUCUUCUACAAUGGGUACUGAAGUCAGAAAACUUCCUGCAAAGGCCAUUGGUGAUACAAAAAAGGCAGUUGAAAAAUCAGGAAAAUGAGAAAAUAUAUCUCAAUUCUCCUGAAAGAAUUAAAGUUUAACAAUCAAAAAAGAAAUAUUAGAUUUGAGAAGGAGUCCACUUCCAUGAAAUGGAAGACAAGAACAAGACACACUGGCAUGUUGGCUUCAAUUUUCAUCAAGGAACCUGAGAGGCCCUCUUUCUGUUGUUCACUUCUGCUCUAUCUUCUGGAGCUCAGGACAAUGGCCUUUAUGACCC
ensembl:lncRNA